rnacentral:rRNA from 1 species
AGUGAACGCUGGCGGUAGGCCUAACACAUGCAAGUCGAACGGCAGCACAGUAAGAGCUUGCUCUUACGGGUGGCGAGUGGCGGACGGGUGAGGAAUACAUCGGAAUCUACUUUUUCGUGGGGGAUAACGUAGGGAAACUUACGCUAAUACCGCAUACGACCUACGGGUGAAAGCAGGGGAUCUUCGGACCUUGCGCGAUUGAAUGAGCCGAUGUCGGAUUAGCUAGUUGGCGGGGUAAAGGCCCACCAAGGCGACGAUCCGUAGCUGGUCUGAGAGGAUGGUAAGCCACACUGGAACUGAGACACGGUCCAGACUCCUACGGGAGGCAGCAGUGGGGAAUAUUGGACAAUGGGCGCAAGCCUGAUACAGCCAUACCGCGUGGGUGAAGAAGGCCUUCGGGUUGUAAAGCCCUUUUGUUGGGAAAGAAAAGCAGCAGGUUAAUACCCCGCUGUUCUGACGGUACCCAAAGAAUAAGCACCGGCUAACUUCGUG